GCCCGGUUGGUCUAGUGGUAUGAUUGUCGCUUCGGGUAUUCCCCAGGGUUUGAAACUCCUGAAUUGUGACAGGUCUCCGGUUCGAUCCCGGAAUCGGGCC